CAGAGAGCGGCCCUUGGCACUGGGAACGGCGGCUCCGGGCUGGGACGGCCCCAGCAGUAGCAGGAGAAGGAGGAGGCAGUGGCCGGGCCCGGGAUGAGCGCUGCUGUGCUGAGGAAGAGGAAGACCCACAGCCAAAUGAGGGAGACCUGUGGAAAAGCCUUGGUGCCCAGAGGGGAUCCUGACCCCUGGCCUGGAGAGCUGCAGCUGUGCUGAGGAAGAGGAAGACCCACAGCCAAAUGAGGGAGACCUGUGGAAAAGCCUUGGUGCCCAGAGGGGAUCCUGACCCCUGGCCUGGAGAGCUGCAGCUGUGCUGAGGAAGAGGAAGACCCACAGCCAAAUGAGGGAGACCUGUGGAAAAGCCUUGGUGCCCAGAGGGGAUCCUGACCCCUGGCCUGGAGAGCUGCAGCUGUGCUGAGGAAGAGGAAGACCCACAGCCAAAUGAGGGAGACCUGUGGAAAAGCCUUGGUGCCCAGAGGGGAUCCUGACCCCUGGCCUGGAGAGCUGCAGCUGUGCUGAGGAAGAGGAAGACCCACAGCCAAAUGAGGGAGACCUGUGGAAAAGCCUUGGUGCCCAGAGGGGAUCCUGACCCCUGGCCUGGAGAGCUGCAGGGGUCCAAGGAUGAUGGAAGAGACGAGGAUCUGACUCCAUGUUUCAGAAGGCUUGUUUUAAUAUUUUAUGACAUAUAUUAAAACUAUACUGAAAGGAUGGAAGAAAGGAUUUCAUCAGAAGGCUAGCUAAGAAUAGCAAAAGAAAGAAUGAUAACGAAGUUUUGUGGCUCUGACAAAGAGUCCAAGGCAGCUGACUGUGAUUGGCCAUUAAUUAGAAACAACUACAUGAGACCAAUCACAGAUCCACUUGUUGCAUUCCACAGCAGCAGAUAAUCAAUGUUUACAUUUUGUUCCUGAGGCCUCUCAGGUUCUCAGGAGGAAAAAAUCCUAAGGAAGGAUUUUUCAUAAAAGAUGUCUGUGACAGUCUGACUGCCUGUUCUCACAGAAGCCUGUGCUCUAAGAAACUGCUGCAGCCAAGGAUAGAGAUAAAGGAGGGGCCCUUGAACUCUGAAACAGAGAGAGAGGCUGCCGUGGAAAGCAGGGUCAAAAUGACCCAGGAAUUCUUUUUGAUAAAGUAGAAUUCACAGGAAAUGUAACAGGAAAUCAGUACGAUGAAUAUGUAUGAACCUGUUGUGAAAUUGCAUGCAGAUGUAUUUGAGAGGGAGUAUGUGAGUGUUUUCUCAGGGGUCCAAGGAUGAGGGAAGAGAUGAGGAUCUGACUCCAUGUUUCAGGAGGCUUGAUUUAUUAUUUUAUGACAUAUAUUUAAUUAAAAUUAUACUAAAAGAAUGGAAGAAAGGAUUUCAUCAGAAGGCUAGCUAAGAAUAGCAAAAGAAAGAAUGAUAACAAAGGCUUGUGGCUCUGACAGCAUAUUCCAAGAACUGUUUAGCAUGGCUCCUCCUCAGUUCCACCUUUUUAGAGCAUGGACAUGCCUUGGUUGUGGUUUUGUUCCUUUUUUAUCAUUAUCUUCAGUUUUGGCCACAGCCCACACUGCCUUCAGACGGUGAGUGCUGAUGGCUGGCACAUCUGUACCAGGUGUCUUCAUCCCAUGUUCAUUGGAUGUUAUCCCAGCCAAGCAGGCAUUGUAACACAAGCACACUUAUAUCAGCUAUUUCACUAUUAUGUCUAAGCUUAUAAUUAACUACAGAAAUCAAAACUGUAUCUUUAUAACAAAGUUAUUUUAAGACCGCCCAUAUAAAAUCCAUGUUAACAUU